GCCGGGCAUGGUGGCUCAUGCCUGUAAUCCUAGCACUUUGGAGGCUGAGGCGGGUGGAUCGCCUGAGGUCAGGAGUUUGAGACUAACCUGGCCAACAUGGCGGAACCCCAUCUCUA
ensembl:misc_RNA Metazoa_SRP Metazoan signal recognition particle RNA